UCCCGGGAUCCCCCCCAGGUUCCCAGGGAAGGGCCGUGCCGGGGGUGGAAACGGGAACCUUUAUUGGGGGUUUGGGGUCCGGGGGGACCCGAGAAGGAAACACCGGAAAUGGGGAAAGGAGGGAAAAGAAACCGGGAGGGGACAAAAAACGGGAACGGCCCCAAAGGGGGGGGGGAGGGGAAUGUCCUGUGUCUGUCCUGUGUCCGUGUGUCUGUCCUGUGUCCAUCCUGUGUCUGUCCUGUGUCCAUCCUGUGUCCGAGUGUCUGUCCUGUGUCUGUGUGUCCAUCCUGUGUCUGUCCUGUGUCCGUGUGUCCGUCCUGUGUCCGUGUGUCCAUCCUGUGUCCGUGUGUCUGUCCUGUGUCUGUCCUGUGUCCAUCCUGUGUCCGUCCUGUGUCCGUGUGUCUGUCCUGUGUCCGUCCUGUGUCCAUCCCGUGUCCAUCCCGUGUCUGUUCUUUGUCUGUGUGUCCCUCCUGUGUCUGUGUGUCCAUUCCAUGUCCAUCCCAUGUCCGUGUGUCCAUCCCAUGUCCGUGUGUCCAUCCCGUGUCCGUGUGUCCAUCCCGUGUCCAUCCCGUGUCCAUCCCAUGUCCAUCCCAUGUCCGUGUGUCCAUCCCAUGUCCGUGUGUCCGUCCCGUGUCCGUGUGUCCAUCCCAUGUCCGUCCCGUGUCCAUCCCAUGUCCAUCCCAUGUCCGUGUGUCCAUCCCGUGUCCAUCCCGUGUCCGUCCCGUGUCCGUGUGUCCGUCUCACAGCACGAUCCACGUGUAGCGCUCGUUGUCCGCCAGGACCUUCAGGGAGCAGCCUGGGGGGGGGAUGAAGCAGUUUUUGGGGGGAAAGACCCCCAAAAUCAACCCCCCAGACCCCCCGCAGG
rnacentral:lncRNA from 1 species